rnacentral:misc_RNA from 1 species
CAUGCCUGUUCGAGCGUCAUUACAACCCUCAAGCUCAGCUUGGUGUUGGGUGAUCACCGUGUGCACCCUAAAGUCAGUGGCGAUGCCCCACGGCUUCCAGCGUAGUAAACAUCUCGCUCCGGAGCCUGUGGGAGCCCCGCCAGCAACCCCUAAAUUCAAAGGUUGACCUCGGAUCAGGUAGGGAUACCCGCUGAACUUAA